GCCGGUGUGGCGAAAUGGCAGACGCACAGGACUUAAAAUCCUGGGACCUUAAACAGUCGUGUCGGUUCGAGUCCGACCACCGGCACCA
rnacentral:tRNA from 1 species